rnacentral:rRNA from 1 species
UUUGUAUAAUGGGUCAGCGACUUAUAUUCAGUGGCAAGGUUAACCAUCUAGGGGAGCCGUAGGGAAACCGAGUCUUAACUGGGCGUUCAGUCUCUGGAUAUAGACCCGAAACCAGGUGAUCUAGCCAUGGGCAGGUUGAAGGUUGAGUAACAUCAACUGGAGGACCGAACCGACUAAUGUUGAAAAAUUAGCGGAUGACUUGUGGCUAGGGGUGAAAGGCCAAUCAAACCUGGAGAUAGCUGGUUCUCCCCGAAAGCUAUUUAGGUAGCGCCUCGGACGAAUACUACUGGGGGUAGAGCACUGUUAAGGCUAGGGGGUCAUCCCGACUUACCAACCCUUUGCAAACUCCGAAUACCAGUAAGUACUAUCCGGGAGACACACGGCGGGUGCUAACGUCCGUCGUGGAGAGGGAAACAACCCAGACCGCCAGCUAAGGUCCCAAAUUACUACUAAGUGGGAAACGAUGUGGGAAGGCUCAGACAGCCAGGAUGUUGGCUUAGAAGCAGCCAUCAUUUAAAGAAAGCGUAAUAGCUCACUGGUCGAGUCGGCCUGCGCGGAAGAUGUAACGGGGCUAAGUAGUAAACCGAAGCUGCGGCAAUAUACUUUUGUAUAUUGGGUAGGGGAGCGUUCUGUAAGCGGUUGAAGGUGUGUGGUAACGCAUGCUGGACGUAUCAGAAGUGCGAAUGCUGACAUGAGUAACGAUAAAGGGGGUGAAAAACCUCCUCGCCGGAAGACCAAGGGUUCCUGUCCAACGUUAAUCGGGGCAGGGUAAGUCGACCCCUAAGGCGAGGCCGAAAGGCGUAGUCGAUGGGAAACGGGUUAAUAUUCCCGUACUUCUUACAAUUGCGAUGGGGGGACGGAGAAGGCUAGGUGGGCCUGGCGACGGUUGUCCAGGUUCAAGUGCGUAGGCUUAAGAGUUAGGUAAAUCCGGCUCUUUUUAAGGCUGAGACACGACGUCGAGCACCUACGGGUGUGAAGUCAUUGAUGCCAUGCUUCCAGGAAAAGCCUCUAAGCUUCAGAUUGUAAGGAAUCGUACCCCAAACCGACACAGGUGGUCGGGUAGAGAAUACCAAGGCGCUUGAGAGAACUCGGGUGAAGGAACUAGGCAAAAUGGUACCGUAA